CAGUCGAACGAGACUUUUUAUUUGAUGCUUGCAUCUUUUAAAAAGUUGAGUGGCGAACGGGUGAGUAACACGUGGGUAACCUGCCUUAAAGUGGGGGAUAACACUUGGAAACAGGUGCUAAUACCGCAUAACCAUCAAAACCACCUGGUUUUGAUGUUAAAGAUGGUUCUGCUAUCGCUUUAAGAUGAACCCGCGGCGUAUUAGCUAGUUGGUGAGGUAACGGCUUACCAAGGCAAUGAUACGUAGCCGAACUGAGAGGUUGAUCGGCCACAUUGGGACUGAGACACGGCCCAAACUCCUACGGGAGGCAGCAGUAGGGAAUCUUCCACAAUGGACGAAAGUCUGAUGGAGCAACGCCGCGUGAGUGAAGAAGGUUUUCGGAUCGUAAAACUCUGUUGUCAGAGAAGAACGUGUGUGAGAGUAACUGUUCACGCAGUGACGGUAUCUGACCAGAAAGUCACGGCUAACUACGUGCCAGCAGCCGCGGUAAUACGUAGGUGGCAAGCGUUGUCCGGAUUUAUUGGGCGUAAAGGGAACGCAGGCGGUCUUUUAAGUCUGAUGUGAAAGCCUUCGGCUUAACCGAAGUCGGGCAUUGGAAACUGGGAGACUUGAGUGCAGAAGAGGAGAGUGGAACUCCAUGUGUAGCGGUGAAAUGCGUAGAUAUAUGGAAGAACACCAGUGGCGAAAGCGGCUCUCUGGUCUGUAACUGACGCUGAGGUUCGAAAGCGUGGGUAGCAAACAGGAUUAGAUACCCUGGUAGUCCACGCCGUAAACGAUGAAUGCUAAGUGUUGGAGGGUUUCCG
rnacentral:rRNA from 1 species